UUGCCAAAUUCAACUUUAUUUGUACACAUUAAUAACUUAUUGUCAAACAGACGUAUGUAGUGAGCAAGCAAUGGACAGCCCUUAAUGAAGAUGUACUGCUUGAGUCAUUGCAAGAGCAGUUUUGUAAUGAGUACAUGUACAUGGACAUGUUUAAUAAUAACAUUAACAGCAUGGGAAAUAAUUAAACGUACAGCUUGUGAAUUGCUUACUUGAAUAGAUCACAAAAAUAUUGUGUGUAACAAGUACAUUAAAAGCAUGUGUUAUGACUACAUGCAAGCUUGUGUAAUAAGCGUAUGACUAGCUUGAAUUUGGAGCAUUUAACAUUAUACAAGAAUACAACUGUUGAAACUAUCACAGAAAUUAUUUUUUAAUCUUCAAAUUACAGUGUUAAUAGUAAAAUCAUUACGUCCCUUCAUAUGAUAUCUAGUAGUUGGUAAACAUGUUCAAGACUAAAUGAAGAUUCAAUAGAAGUUCAGAACAAUUAAUGUAAUAGUCUUCAAAUAAAUAAAUGAAUACAACACAAAGUCAACAAAAGUAUCUUAGAAAAGUCAAUCUACUUUUCUUAGUCUAUCUAUUAGCUAGUCAUCCCACGCACAGUGACCUGUUUAAUUUCCGACUGAAUGAUGCGUUCAACUGUGAAAUGAAUUUAAACCCAGUUUCGAACAUUUGAAACUAAUCUUUUUCAAAGGUCAUGGAAUCAAUGGAUAGUUUCACUAUGUUUGUCAAAGAUUAAUAAACAAACAAAAUAAUAAUUGAAAAGACUUAAUUUCCUUCCACGUGGUUCAUUUUAUUAUUCGGGAAAUAUAGGAAGUCGGAAAAUCCCAAGAAUUUUCCAAAGUAUUAAUACUUCUGGCAAAAAACCGUUAGGUUCAAAUCAGCUAUAAAAUAGGAAAGAAUUUAAACCUUUGACCAUUUUGUCAAUCUAUAUUUCCGAAUUAAUACCAAACAUGGGAAUUGUGUAUAUUUUUUAUACAUAUAAAAAAAGUAUAUAAUCGUUUAAUUUUUUUUUCGGUUUGUUUCAAUUACAGAUUUUUUAGAGUGCAUUUCAGAAUGUAUUUGAUGAGAUAUUUAAUGUCAUGAUGAAUGUGUGUAUGUCGAAAAAUAAUUCAUUUUGGAUUAAUUUUUUUCUAGAUAUAGCAACAUAUAGGAUGAUUAGGGAUAAAUACACACAAUACACUAUGGCAUAAAUAGGUAAGUAGGUCAAUGGAUUCGCCAGUUCAUCCAGGUUGGAGAAGUGUCACUAUAAAUAGACUCUAGCUGCUUUAAUAAAACGUUUUAAUAAUGGCAUAAAGUUAACACGAAUUUUCAUAAGUGACUAUCCUUCAAUGUAGAUACUCCGGAAAAAUCUGUAGAAGAGAUUUUCAAUCUGUAGUAGAGACUUUUUAUCAGUAGUAGAGACUCUAAAUCU